AAUGGGAGAGGCUAUUCUACGUGUGAUUGAUGGGUCCCAGGUGACUUGUUCCAAAAAGUAACUGAUCCUUCAUCGUGCCUGACUAUAAAAGCAACAACGUACAGGGGAAGGCAGAGUAGAAGGAAGAAAAGAAAGUGGAUAAUUGGGGCAACUAACAUCGAAUAAGAAGAAAAGAGAGAGAGAGAGAUUGAAUAUUUCCCUUGAAGUCUUGAUUGUUCAGACACUGGGAUAAAAUGGUGCCCACCAUUUUUCUGAGCGCCUUCUUGCUUCAUUUUACUGUUUCUGUGGCUUCAGAACCGCAAUAUAUCCUAUGGGUGUCCUCCGUGAUGCAGAGUCAUUCUACAGACAAGGCUUGUCUCCACCUUUCAAACCUUAACGAAUCUGUAUCCUUGAGUGUUGUCCUAGAAUAUGAUGGAUACAACACCACGAUUUUUGAGCAGUCUGUGGACGACGAUAACUUCUACGCUUGUGCAGAUUUCAAGGUGCCUCAAAAGUCCUCUGAGCCAUUGGCCUUUGUGACAUUGCGGGCUAAGGGAGAGACUCUUAAAAUCUUCGAGAGGAGGUCCGUAGCACUCGCUUCAGAGGAGACCGUAACCUUUGUGCAGACAGAUAAGCCCAUCUAUAAACCUGGACAGAAGGUUCAAAUUCGCAUCGUGACGCUGGAUACCAAGUUCAGACCUGUUGAGGAAUUGUAUCCGUUGAUCACACUUCAGGAUCCUCAACACAAUAGGAUUUUUCAGUGGCAAAAUGUGACCUCCUUUCAAAACAUUACCCAACUCUCAUUCCAACUGAUUUCAGAACCAAUAUUUGGAGAUUACUCUAUUAUCGUGAAAGAAAAAUCAGGAAGGACACUGACACACCAAUUUACUGUUGAUAGAUAUGUGUUGCCCAGGUUUGAAGUUAAGGUCAGUGCACCACAAACAGUAACUAUUUCGGAUGAUGAAUUCCAAGUGAAUGUAUGUGCUAAGUACACCUAUGGCCAGCCGGUGCAAGGAAAAGCUCAAAUCCGGGUGUGCAGAAAAUUCUUUUCCUCCGAGAACUGUGAGAACAACAACAAUGAAAUAUGUGAACAAUUUAUUGCGCAGUUGAGAAACGGUUGUGUGACUCAAAUUGUGAAUACGAAAGUCUUCCAACUCUACCGCUCAGGAUUUUUCAUGUCAUUUCAAACCGCUGUAACAGUUACGGAAUUUGGGACAGGUGUGCAGAUCAGUGAAAAGACUUCCAUUUUUCUCACUCAAUUGCUUGGGAGUGUGAGCUUUGAGAAUAUGGAUUCUUUCUACAGAAGAGGAAUUCCUUAUUUUGGAACUCUUAAAUUUUCUGGACCUAAUAAUGUACCGAUGGGGAACAAGCCAUUGCGAUUGGAGCUAAAUAAUAGAUUUAUAGGAAACUACACCACAGGCGACAAUGGGGAAGCUCUGUUUUCCAUCGACACUUCAGAUAUAUUCGAUUCAGAGUUCAACCUGAAAGCCAUGUAUAUUCGACCUAAGAACUGCUAUCCUCCCAGCUGGUUAGCGCCUGAGUAUGUGGAUGCACAUUUCUCAGUUUCACGCUUUUACUCCCGAACCAACAGCUUCCUGAAGAUUGUUCCUGAACCAAAACAGCUUAGAUGCAAUCAACAGAAAACUGUUACUGUGCAUUACACCCUAAACAAAGAAGCAUAUAGGGAUGAUUCCAGUAUCAACUUUUUUUAUCUGGUGAUGGUAAAAGGGGCUAUCUUCCUCAGCGGACAAAAGGAAAUCAGAAACAAAGCCUGGAAUGGAAACUUCUCGUUCCCGAUCAACAUCAGUGCCGAUCUUGCUCCUGUGGCUGUCAUGCUUGUCUACACCCUUCACCCCAGUGGGGAAAUUGUGGCUGACAGUGUCAGAUUCCAGGUUGACAAGUGCUUUAAAAACAAGGUUAGCAUGAAGUUCUCUAAGGAGCAGGGGCUACCUGGCUCCAACACGGAUCUCUACCUUCAAGCAGCCCCUGACUCAUUCUGCGCACUCCGGGCUGUGGAUAAAAGUGUUCUUCUGCUGAAAUCCGAACAACAGCUGUCAGCCGAAAGUGUGUACGAUCUGCUUCCACAUGUAGAACUGUAUGGUUAUUUCUAUCAUGGCCUCAACCUUGAUGAUGGCAAGUUUGACUCUUGCAUUCCUCAGAAGGAUAUAUUCUACAAUGGUUUGUAUUAUAUACCUGUAAGCAACUAUGGGGAUGGAGACGCCUAUGAUAUUCUCAGGGCUAUGGGUCUGAAAGUCUUUACCAACCUUCAUUACCGGAAACCGGAAGUAUGUUCCAUGGAGGGAAGGAUGCCAUUCCUCAGGCCAUUGCAUCUAGACGCAGAAGGAUAUGGGCCAAUAUACAGUGCCCCAUCUAGAAUUGCAUCUGGUGGAGGCCUGAAGGAGAAUUUUGACUAUGUAGAACAGGCUAUAAUAGAAACGGUAAGAACAAACUUCCCAGAGACGUGGAUAUGGGACCUCGUCAGUGUCGAUUCCUCAGGUUCAGCAAACAUGUCCUUCCUCGUCCCUGAUACCAUAACCCAGUGGCAGGCAAAUGGCUUCUGUGUGAAUGGUGACGCCGGGUUUGGCAUUUCAUCAACAGUCACUCUGGAAAUCUCCCAGCCUUUUUUUGUUGAAAUGACUUUGCCCUUUUCAGUUGUUCGAAAUGAACAAUCCGACUUGGUUGUCAGUGUCUUCAGCUACCUGAGUACAUGUGUAGAGAUUUCGGUCCGGCUGGAAUCAUCUCAGUAUUUUGAAGCAAAUAUCAGCACCCCUAAAAACAAUGGCAGUGAGAUUAUCCAAGCUGGAGAGAAGAAAACGUAUGUCUGGACUCUUCUACCGAAGACAUUGGGUGAAGUGAAUAUCACGGUAGUUGCUGAGUCCAGACAAAGUAGUGCCUGCCCCAAAGAAGCAACUGAUCAGCAGAAUCUAAACUGGAAAGAUACUGUGGUCAAAAGUCUGUUGGUGGAGCCUGAAGGUAUUGAAAAAGAAAUGACUCAAAGUUUCCUUAUCUGUACACAAGGGACCAAAGUCUCCCAUCAGGUCGUUUUGGACUUGCCAAGCAAUGUGGUAGAAGGAUCAUCCAGGGCCUUUUUCACUGUUGUGGGGGAUAUUCUAGGACUUGCGAUGCAGAAUCUGGAGAAUCUUCUCCAAAUGCCCUAUGGAUGUGGAGAGCAGAAUAUUGCCCUACUCGCAUCGGAUACCUAUGUCCUAGACUAUCUACAAUCUACUAAACAGUUGACCGAGGAAGUUAAAUCUAAGGCUUUCUUUUUCUUGUCUAACGGUUAUCAAAAGCAGUUGUCUUUCAAAAACUUUGAUGGUUCAUAUAGUGUGUUUUGGCAGAGUAACCGGAAAGGAAGCCUAUGGCUCAGUGCCCUUACUUUUAAGACAUUAGAGAAAAUGAAGGAGUAUGUUUACAUUGAUGAACAAGUUCAAAAACAGACCUUGCUCUGGCUUUCAAGCAAACAGCAAAUCGAUGGCUGCUUUAAAAGUGAUGGCAAGCUUUUCAACAAUGCCUGGGAGGGUGGAGAAGAAGAGCACGUUUUACUCACUGCCUAUAUUGUCGGAGCGUUCCUUGAAGCUGGACUCAAUUUCACCUUUCCUGCUCUACGAGAUGGGCUCUUUUGCCUAGAGGAAGCACUUCAACACGGCGUCACUAAUGGCUAUAAUCAUGCAAUUCUAGCUUACGCUUUUGCAUUAGCUGAAAAAGAGGAGCAAAUGGAAUCCUUACUCCAGAUCCUGGAUCAAUCUGCUACCAAAACAAAUAAUGUCAUAUACUGGGAACGAGCAAAGAAACCCAAGACAGAAGCAUCCCCGUUCUUUAUUCCUCAUGCACCUUCUGCUGAGACUGAGAAGACUUGUUAUGUGCUCUUGGCUGUUCUUUCCAAGAAAACUCCUGAUCUCACCUAUGCGAGUAAAAUUGUGCAGUGGCUUGCCCAGCAGAUGAAUUCCCAUGGGGGUUUCUCCUCCACUCAGGACACUGCAGUCUGUCUUCUUGCCAUGACCCGCUACAUGAAGUUAACCUUCUCUGAUGACCAAAACACCGUCACCUUUCGCAAUGAAGAAUCCAGUGAGAUUUUCCAGGUUAACAGUGACAAUCGCUUACUGGUCCAGCGUUCCGAACUAACAAAAGCACACGGACAAUAUACAGUAGAUGUGGAAGGACAAGGUUGUACAUUUAUCCAGGCUACCCUGAGGUAUAACGUACUCCUACCUAAGAAGGCAUCUGGAUUUUCCCUUUCCUUGGAAAUGAUAAAGAAAAACUCAUCGGAUACAUUCCAGAGCCAUUUUAACCUGACCGUAACCCUCAAAUAUACUGGAAUCCGCAAUAACUCCAAUAUGGUCCUUGUUGAUGUCAAAAUGCUGUCAGGAUUUACUCCAGUCAUGGCAUCUAUUGAAGAGCUUGAAAAUAAUGGCCAAGUGAUGAAGACUGAAGUCAAGAAUGAUCACGUUCUUUUCUACUUGGAAAGUGUUUUUGGUACAGUGAACAGUUUUACUUUCUCUGUUGAGCAAAGCAACCUCGUGUCCAACAUACAGCCAGCCCCGGUUAUGGUCUAUGAUUAUUAUGAAAAAGAUGAAUAUGCCCUUGUUACUUACAACAUCAACAGCGUUUCAGAUUCCUCGUGAGAAAAAACAAAGCACCGGAAAAGCUUUAAAGAUGGGGCGCCUGGGUGGCGCAGUCGGUUAAGCGUCCGACUUCAGCCAGGUCACGAUCUCGCGAUGGAAAGCUAUUUACUUUGAAUAAACUCAUCUUUCUGUAUCAAACCUGGAAGAAAGCCAUGCAUCACCUCCCAUAUUGAAGAGACCACAGUCUUCCGUGACUUCUUAUCAGAUUGUAUUUUUUAUUGUCCCAUAAAAUGCUUUCAUUUCUCA